rnacentral:tRNA from 1 species
GGUCCGAUGGUCUAGUUGGUUAUGACACAUGCUUAACACAUCUCAGUGUAAGCGCAUGAGGUCUGCGGUUCGAUCCCGUGUCGGAUCA